GAGCAAUCCAAGUCACAGCCAGAGUUAAUAGCAGUUGACGCUCAUGAUUCUAAGGCCGCUGCUUUCGCUUCACUUGCGGUGUAUUAGAUCAAUCCUGUCCUGGGUUAGACCAGCUGCCACAAAGAUGGAGAAAGGAGAAGGCGGCAAAGUGCUUUGCAGCGACGGGCUUGUUUGGAUAGACAUGGAACUAACUGGCCUGAACCUGGAAACAGACCAUAUCAUGGAGGUGGCUUGUAUGGUGACUGACAAGGAUCUCAACCCAAUCUCGGGGGGGCUGAACCUGGUCUUGCACCAGCCAGACGACAUUCUUGAGAAGAUGGGGGACUGGUGCAAGGAGCAUCAUGGAAAGUCGGGCCUGACCCAGAAAUGCCGUGAGAGCCGCCUGACAAUCAAGGAGGCGGAAGACCAGCUAUGCGCGCAUGUUGGGGGUCUGGUGGCACCCGGCCAGUGUCCACUCGCUGGCAGCACAGUUUACAUGGACCGUCGCUUCUUGCAGCGAGACUUGCCUCGACUGGAUGCCUUGCUCCACUAUCGCAUUGUGGACGUCAGCACUGUCAAGGAGCUUGCAAGGCGGUGGUUCAGAGACGAGUAUUACCAAGCCCUGAGGCUGAAAACAGCAUCCCACAGGGCCAUGCCAGACAUCCUGGAAAGCAUAGAAGAGCUAAGGUUCUACCGGAAGAAGAUCUUCCUGGUCUUUGCCUAGUGGCAGCCUCACCUGGACAUACUGGAGAACUUGAAGUCUGAAUUUGAGAAUAUAUAUAUAGAAUUCAUUUCUGGAACAGAAGCGGGAUAUGAACAAAGAGAAGCAAGAACACAGGACAGCUGUUCAUUUUCUUCGUUGUAGUUUGUGUUGCACUGAUGUUUGCAGAAUGGACUGUUGUCAACUAGCGUGGCUUUCAGUUUUCUUUAGAAUCCUCCUGAACUGCAAACUUACUGCCAUAUAACCAACUUUGUACAAAUAUUCCAUUAGUUAGGUCAGCAUGCUUUACUUUGCUGUCUGAAAGGUGGUAGAGGAGGUGAAAACUGCCAUCUUGGCACUAGUUGACGCUGCAGCGUGCACUGAUGCCACAACUUGGGGACGCUAAAGUUGGCACUUUCACACGGCACCUGCUUCUCCCAAGCAAACCCGCAGGUUUGCCGUCUCCUGAGGUGGCGAAUGUUAUCGGUGCACCUCUGGGCGAUGCCUUGUACCAACAACUUAAGCAGAGUAUUUUUAGACCACACCCUGGCAUCUGAGAGCAUAUAUUGCAGGGAAUUCUGUGUCUGAGAGUACGCACCUCCAGCAGAGCAGUGGGAGUCUGUGCUGCUCAGCGAAUGCGCGGAGGACCAACUCUGGGCAGUCCGGCUGGCCGCUGCCGCCGCCAAGACUCAAGCACCUCCUAACCUCUGAGGACCUUGGAGAUCGCCACCCCUGCCAGUUGCUCAACAGCAUGCGGUGGCUCCUGGGCACAAGCAACAUCAACUCGAACGACGCGCUAUUGAGGAAGCUCUUCCUGCAGCACUUGUUGCAGUCCACCUGCCUUGUCUUGGGCGCUGCAGGGGACUUGACCCUCGACCACCUCGCCCAGCUUGCUGAUAAGAGUCCAUGACGCAACUUGUCCUUUGGUUGCCGCCCUCUCUUCAGCACCAGAGAGCUCUCAAUCAUGUCCAGCUUACAGUACCGGAUCAACCAGCUCGCCAUUUCCAUCGAAGCCCUAUGGAUGUCCUCUCAUGAUCAGCCCGACUCCUCUUCACGUCCUAGCUGCCGUUCCGUCUUCCCCAAGUGGUCCCCACCCGAGCAGUCCUCGAAGCCUGCCUAUUUGCAUAGGUGCAAGGGGGGCUCAUCAUCGCCCCCACAUGCUAUAAUAUAAGACUUCUGCCAGCCACACUAAGCAUUUAAGGGUUACCAUACUUUGCGGUUCAAGACGCCUGCGGGACGUGCUUUGCAAGCCUGAGCUGGGGCAGGAGGGGGAGGGGGCAAAGUAGGCCAUUUGACUCCCCCACUUUUGAAAGCUGGGAAUAUGGUGCCUGGAGUCCCGACCAAGAUCACUCGAGUCUACAGGAAGCCGCUUGAGGCUCAGAUAAUGGGGGCCUGGCCUCUCCACCAGCUGUACGCGGAGCCUCGGCCUCAUUGGUUCUUCAGGGCACUCAUCACCGAUAUGUAUGUAGCACACAGGAUCUACUUGGUUACAGCUGGUAAAUUCCCCA